AACGAACGCUGGCGGCAGGCCUAACACAUGCAAGUCGAGCGCCCGCAAGGGAGCGGCGGACGGGUGAGUAACGCGUGGGAACGUGCCCUUUGCUACGGAAUAGCCUCGGGAAACUGAGAGUAAUACCGUAUGUGCCCUUCGGGGGAAAGAUUUAUCGGCAAAGGAUCGGCCCGCGUUGGAUUAGGUAGUUGGUGGGGUAAUGGCCUACCAAGCCGACGAUCCAUAGCUGGUUUGAGAGGAUGAUCAGCCACACUGGGACUGAGACACGGCCCAGACUCCUACGGGAGGCAGCAGUGGGGAAUCUUAGACAAUGGGCGCAAGCCUGAUCUAGCCAUGCCGAGUGAGCGAUGAAGGCCUUAGGGUUGUAAAGCUCUUUCGUGGGGGAAGAUAAUGACGGUACCCCAAGAAGAAGCCCCGGCUAACUCCGUGCCAGCCGCCGCCGUAAAAC
rnacentral:rRNA from 1 species